rnacentral:lncRNA from 1 species
CCAAGGCAAAGCUACCAGCAGACAAUGAGUCAUUACAUCAUUAAAAAAGCAGUUUUAGCCAUCAGUCUAAUGAGCAGUGAAAGGACAUCUGGCCUGCCUCUAACAGGUGAUUUUGAGUUAUCCGAGUAAGAAAUUCUUUUUUCUCUCUGCAGCUGGUGAGGCAUGUUAGCAGGGAUCAGAAAAAUCUAUGCUCGAGAAAGAAAGGCAUCUCUGCAGCAGGAAUGACAAGAAGAAAAACGAAUAAAAAAUAGCAUUUUUUCCCCUCAAAUGACUACACAAUGUGACCAUCCAUAUGAAGGAAGCACGUGCACUCAACAUCUGCAGGGGCUUCACUUUUUUCGGCACAGUCCUGCUGGGAAAUUGAAAAUAUCAACUCUCAGGAUUCACAGCAUGUAAAUACGUAAUAUUUGAGUAUUUAGGACUCUCUUCAGACCCAUUGAAAUCCAGGGAGCAUUUUGUAGCAUUUUAAGAGGCUGAAUUUCAGGUCCUUCCACAAUUACGUCAAAUCCUUUUCAGAAUUUUCUUUGCAAAUCACUGAGGAAUAUCAUUCAUUAUGUCUCGGACAGCUAUGGCAAACAGCCCUGUGAUCAGGAAGCCUAGCAACUCCUAAUUCUUUAAGAAAAAAAAAGUCAGUUCUCGUUACACAUAUGAAAACACCUAGAAAAAUACCCAAACCGAAUGCGUGGCUGAAAAGAUUUCAGAUCUCACAUCAGCCUUUUCAGGUAUUUUAAAGCAUCUCAGCCCUCUUGAAUUGACAGCCUUCAAUAAUUCACGUAUUGCUGUAGUGUGCAUUAGACAUCACAUGUAGCCGUGAGGAGAAAAUGGAAAAUACGGAAACAAAGCCAAGAGAAGUACAUUGCAAUGUACAGCAAGGACUCAAGUUUUGUUUUUUUUGUUUUUUUCAAUAAAAGAACAGAUAAAUAUUUCUGAUAUAUAUGC